GAUGAGUGAUCGAGGAAACAAAGAGGAGAACAGAGCAGAGUCUCCUCUGUCCAGCUGUCUCUCUAUGAAGAGUGACCGGUCUAAACGUCGUACUCCAGUCUUCAGUAAUGAACCAGGACCCUCAGAUCCACA